AGCAUAGAUAUAUUUAUUCUCUUAAAAGUGCUAUUGAGAUUAGAAUUGUUAUAUAAAUAUCCAAGCAAAGUAAUUUUAUGAAUGACAUAGUAGGAUGAAAUAGAUAUAAAAUGGUCAAAUAAAAAGUGUAAACAUACAAAUCAAAACAAUGUCCAGAGAUGUGAAGAUUUUUUUAAAGUUAUUUAUUUGUCAGAAACAGAAAAUAGUUUCAAAUUCGGGCGCCUGCCAAGAGCCCUUAACAUUGACAGGGUUAGUCAUUGACAUCUGAUGUUUUUUACAAAUGAAAUCAGAAUGCAAAACCGAAGGUGAAAAAAAAGUUAAGUUGAUCUCAAAUGUUUUCCAACUCGGCUAUAGUUGCAACAUUUUGCCCCAGUUUUUCCAUUUGAAUUUAAUUUGUGAAAAUGUAGAGUUUAGUGAAUAACCAUGAGUAUCUUGUUGUCUGCCCCCCAUUGUGUAUGUUUGUAGUGACUGUAUGUAAUGUGUUUGAUGGAUAUUUGUAGUGUGUGUGUCGUGUUCAGUGGCAGUGUGCAAUAUGUGUGGUUUGUGUAAUCUGUGGAUGUGGUGUCUUCUGGUUGUGUUUAUUGUUAGUGUGUGUGUGUAUUGUCUCUAAUGUGUGCUUGUAAUAUGAAUGUAUUGGGUGUUUGUGUGUGUGCUUGCUGCAUUUUGACCCAUCUUGCUUACAUUUAUUCAGCGAGGUGUCUAGGAUACCUGUUGGCCCAGCGGGUGUUAUAAGGCCUGGUGGAUAAGUAGGGGGUUCCCAGUGGAUGUGUAACUGUGAUUAUAACCCUUGGUAAUCUAGCAGUGUUCCUGUGCUCCACAUGGAGACUAAUCUCCAUGAUGGUUAAAUGGUGCAGACCACAGUAAUCACUCCUUCACGGUUAGUCAAAGCACAGAAUGGGAAUAGCAGGGGCUGUGCUUUGACAUUAGUGAUUGCUGGGACUGCAAGGAAGCAAUUAAUGUAGACUGCACGCAACAGAGGUGCAGACCACACAUAUCC